GACGAACGCUGGCGGCGUGCUUAACACAUGCAAGUCGAACGGAAAGGCCCUGCUUUUGUGGGGUGCUCGAGUGGGGAACGGGUGAGUAACACGUGAGUAACCUGCCCUUGACUUUGGGAUAACUUCAGGAAACUGGGGCUAAUACCAGAUAGGAGCUGCUGCUGCAUGGUGGGCGGUGGAAAGUUUCGGCGGGUGGGGAUGGACUCGCGGCUUAUGAGCUUGUUGGUUGGGUAGUGGCUUACCAAGGCUUGGGCGGGUAGCCGGCCGGAGAGGGUGGCCGGCCACAUUGGGCCUGAGAUACGGCCCAGACUGCUACGGGAGGCAGCAGUGGGGAAUAUUACACAAUGGGCGGAAGCCUGAUACAGCAACGCCGCGUGCGUGAUGACGGCCUUCGGGUUGUGAACCGCUUUCGCCUGUGACGAAGCGUGAGUGACGGUAAUGAAUAAAGAAGCACCGGCUAACUACGUG
rnacentral:rRNA from 1 species